GUCGUCAGCUCGUGUCGUGAGAUGUUGGGUUAAGUCCCGCAACGAGCGCAACCCUUGUNUAUUAGUUGCCANCAUUAAGUUGGGCACUCUAAUGAGACUGCCGGUGACAAACCGGAGGAAGGUGGGGAUGACGUCAAAUCAUCAUGCCCCUUAUGACCUGGGCUACACACGUGC
rnacentral:rRNA from 1 species